UCGAACGAUGAAGCCCAGCUUGCUGGGUGGAUUAGUGGCGAACGGGUGAGUAACACGUGAGUAACCUGCCCUUAACUCUGGGAUAAGCCUGGGAAACUGGGUCUAAUACCGGAUAGGAGCGUCCACCGCAUGGUGGGUGUUGGAAAGAUUUAUCGGUUUUGGAUGGACUCGCGGCCUAUCAGCUUGUUGGUGAGGUAAUGGCUCACCAAGGCGACGACGGGUAGCCGGCCUGAGAGGGUGACCGGCCACACUGGGACUGAGACACGGCCCAGACUCCUACGGGAGGCAGCAGUGGGGAAUAUUGCACAAUGGGCGCAAGCCUGAUGCAGCGACGCCGCGUGAGGGAUGACGGCCUUCGGGUUGUAAACCUCUUUCAGUAGGGAAGAAGCGAAAGUGACGGUACCUGCAGAAGAAGCACCGGCUAACUACGUGCCAGCAGCCGCGGUAAUACGUAGGGUGCGAGCGUUAUCCGGAAUUAUUGGGCGUAAAGAGCUCGUAGGCGGUUUGUCGCGUCUGUCGUGAAAGUCCGGGGCUUAACCCCGGAUCUGCGGUGGGUACGGGCAGACUAGAGUGC
rnacentral:rRNA from 1 species